AUCCAGCUGAUGAAUACCAAAUAGGAUGAAACGCGUGUCCUAGAU
rnacentral:hammerhead_ribozyme from 1 species